rnacentral:lncRNA from 1 species
CUCCAUCUUUCUUUUCAUCAACCUUUUCUUUUCCUCCAACUCUUGCUUCCAAAUUCCCGUCAGAAUACUUACCCAAAAGUUUGGGCGUUCCAUCAGUUUUAGGAUGAAAAUUUCCAGCAUGAUUCUGAACUGCUGUAUUUCCAACUGGUCGUACCUCAGCAUGGAUUCCUUUCCCAGCAUGAUUCUGAACUGCUGUAUUUCCAACAGGUCGUACCUCGGCAUGGAUUCCUUUCCCGUCAAUCUUCUUAGCAUCAAAACCCUUAUCCUUGAGUUUUUCAC